rnacentral:sRNA from 1 species
ACUGGCCAUGGUGUAUGUCUGUUAUUCCACUACUGAAGAGGUUGAGACUGGUAGAUCACUUGAGCUCAGGAUUUCUGAGAUGCAGUAGGUUUGAAACCUGUCACUAAAAGUUCAGCACCGGUAUGAUGAGCCUUUGGGAGCGUGUGCUAUCAGGCUGCCAAAGGAAUGAUGAUCUGGUCCAGGUUGGAAAUGGAGUAGGGCAAAGCUUCCAUGCUGCUCUGUAGUAGGAUCAGGCUUGUAUGUGCUUCCAGCCUGGGAAAAUUCAGUCUCCA